UUCCCGUUGAAGGGCUUGAUAUUUAUUAGCUCGGCGGUGAGCUGGUCAGCGGAGAUCCACGCUCCAGGGGACGAGCCGAGUCCAGCUCCACAGGCCGCUCCACCCUCCUCUGCUCAGACCAACUGGAGCUCCUCCCGGGGCAAUGCUGGCUGGCGCCCGGGGUGCAGGAGGUGGCACCGGGGGCAGCGGGCCCGCGUCUCCCUGCAGGAGCGGGGCUCGGGGCUGUGAAGGAGCCUGGCUGGCCCUCUGGCGGGGAGGCCACCCGGGCCUGCUCAGGACGGGCAGCGAGCUGGGAGCAGAGUGGACGCCAGCCCCAGAGAUGCCCGCAGCCCUCGGGAGCACUCCCUGGAGGACGGCCGCCCCGGCCUCAGCGGCCCAGGAGCAGCUGGUUGGCAAGAGUUCGCUCAGGGCUGUCGUAUCCCACGGACUCCGCACUGGUGUGCCACGGCGAACCCUCUUCCCUGAGCAUCAGGAAGCCUCGUUCAGCCAAGAGAUGACACUCUCCACUCCCUGCGGUUGA
rnacentral:lncRNA from 12 species